UAAAACAACGGUCUAUAUUCAAAUAAGCACCGGUUACUCGUCAAAAUCUUAAAAUUGAAUGCUUAGACUUCAAUUUAGACAAUUCCAGAUUUUACAUCGCUUAUAACUCGAAAAAUAUUAACUUUUGGAAAAAAUUAAAAGAAAACUCUUAUGAUCAAAAUGGCCUAAACCCAAAAAUAUCUUUUCCGGGGCAAAGAAGGUGAUCUAUUUACAAUUUAUGCCAAAAAAUUUCGCCCGGCACUCUUCUGAUUUGUUUAAAGGGGACAUUUUUGAAUAGGAAUCCGCAAAGAAACUUAUUCAGAAAAUUUUUCAUACGGAAGCGGUCUGACAACAUGGACUAAAAUACCUGAACAUCUGCUGAAAAAAUGUGAAUGUGCUGAAGUGAAAUAAACAGCUUGUCAAAAUUUAUGGAUAUUGCUAGUAUUCAAUAAAAAUAAUAUUUGCCAUAAAAAAUGUAUGUUCUCAAAAAAAUUCGUAGAUGUUUUUAAAUAACUUGGGAUGUAGGCGUUGUCAAGUGUUGGAUCUGUUUCUAGCCUGAUCAAAUAAAAUAAAAUCAAAAUAAUUCAGUACAAGUUGGAAACAAUUUUAUAUCAACGUUUAGGUGAAAACAAAAGAUAUUUUCAAGAAAGUAUAUGAUUCAUAUGAGAGGAUAAUAAUUGUUUAAAUAAUGAAAAAAGGCUCUUAUAGUGUAUGGAAGCAUUAAAAAUGUUGUCUAUGGACUUAUCAAUGGAAAUUAGACAUCUACAGACAUUUGGUCCAUCAACGUGUGAAUAAAUAAAUAAAUCAUUAAAAUUAA
rnacentral:lncRNA from 1 species